rnacentral:rRNA from 1 species
GUUCCUUACCACUUGGAUAACCGUGGCAAUUCUAGAGCUAAUACAUGCAGAAAGUCCCGACUUCUGGAAGGGAUGUAUUUAUUAGAUCCAAAACCAGCGCGAGUCCUCCGGGGCUCGGUUUGUUGGUGAUUCAUGAUAACUUCUCGAACCGUAUGGCCUUCGUGCCGACGGUGCUUCAUUCAAAUUUCUGCCCUAUCAACUUUCGAUGGUACGGUAGUGGCCUACCAUGGUUGCAACGGGUGACGGAGAAUUAGGGUUCGAUUCCGGAGAGGGAGCCUGAGAAACGGCUACCACUUCCAAGGAAGGCAGCAGGCGCGCAAAUUACCCAAUCCCGACUCGGGGAGGUAGUGACAAUAAAUAACAAUGCCGGGCUAUCGUAGUCUGGCAAUUGGAAUGAGUACAAUCUAAACCCCUUAACGAGGAAC